CUUUUAGAUAGAGCCCAACCCAACAAAGAAGCCUGGUGUGGUGUUUGAUGAUAAGUAGGGUUCUUUUCUUUUAACUAUAAAUUAUUGUUUCUCUCUUAUCGAUUGAUCUUCUACCAUCAAAUUAGGGUUUCUUCUUCAUCUCCAUUGUAACACAACAUCAUGAGGGCUAAGGUAACAACAACAUCUUUAACUCUUUCUAUCUCUUAAUCUAUUACAAUUGUUGUUCUCUUUCUAUCUCUUAAUCUAUUAAAAUUGUUGUUAGUAAUGUGUAGGUUUUGAUAUAUUGUGUGAUUUGUUUGUUUGUUAUUUGAUUUAUACAACAGUGGAAGAAGAAGCGAAUGAGGAGAUUGAAGAGGAAGCGUCGAAAGAUGAGACAGAGAUCCAAGUAGAUUGAUCGAAAUUAAAGUUUUAUGUUUUUGUUUUGUUUUAGUCGGUAGAUAUAUGUAUCGAUAUCGGAGUUUUCUUUUUAGAUCGGAAACGAUUUCACUUUCGGCGGAUGAAUCGGAAUCGGAAUAGCUACUAAAAUAGUAGUUUUAUGUUUAUCGUAAUUUGUAUCGGAUUUUAUGGGUUUUUUCCUAAUAUCGGAAGAAUCGGAUUAGUAGCUUAUGGUUAUGGUUAUUUGGAUGAAUGUUUGAUUUGAUUAAUUAGUUUGAUUUAGUUUUUAAUUUUUUAUUAAAUUGAAAAGAUAGCAUGGCCUGAGAUUAAGAUUAGUUUCAUAAUUCCUUUAUUCAUGAUUUGCCCCUUGUUUGCGGUUUUUAUUUAAGCAAUUUUUAUCACUAAAAUUAGUCAUGCUUUCACACUAAAAACCUUUACAUGAUAG
rnacentral:lncRNA from 1 species